rnacentral:tRNA from 1 species
ACUUAAAUAGUUUAAAAAAAAAUAUUGAUUUGUGAUGUCAAAGUUAUGAGAAGUUCAUUUUUAGUU